CCCUUAGAUGUUCUGGGCAGCACGCGCUCUACAAUGGUCUUCGCAAACGGAUGCAUUCUCGAAGGAGAAUGCCAAUCUUGGAAUCUAUGCCUUGGUCGGGACAGUUGCUUGCAAUUUUUCGACUCGAACCAGGAAUUCCUUGUAAUCGUGAUUCAUCACAUCACGAUGAAUACGUCCCUGCCCUUUGUACACACCGCCCGUCGCUCCUACCGAUCGAAGAGUUAGGUGAAUUGUUUUGAUCGAUAAGAUUUGACUAUGGUCAACUCUCGUUGUGAAAUUCUGUGAAUCUGACUGUUUAGAGGAAGGAAAAGUCGUAACA
rnacentral:rRNA from 1 species